AUGGACGGCGACACGACGUUCACGAAGCUGUUCGUGGGCGGCCUGGCGUGGCAGACGCAGCGCGACGCCAUGCGGCGCUACUUCGAGCAGUUCGGCGACAUCGCGGAGGCCGUCGUCAUCGCCGACAAGCACACCGGCCGCUCCAGGGGCUACGGAUUCGUGACGUUCAGGGACCCCGAGGCCGCGGCGCGGGCGCUGCAGGACCCGACGCCGGUGAUCGACGGGAGAAGGGCCAACUGCAACCUGGCGGCGCUCGGCGCUUCGCAGCGCGCGCAUCCGGCCGCCGCGGCGCCGUUUGGGAUGGUCAGGUCGACGCCGCCGGCGACAUCGUCUUCGUCGUACCAGAGCUCUGCCGCUGCCGCGAUUGCAGCCUCCUACUUCCCCCAGCAGGCUCACUACGCCUAUCCUUACUACUACGGGUAUACGGGAGGGUAUUCUCACGAAAACAUGUAUCAAAUGCAAAUGAGCUACUAUGGCGCGCAAGGUGGAACGAGCGUGCAGCAGCAACAGCAGCAGCAGUCACAAGUGCAAACAUACUACACAGCAGCUGGGCCGGAAGGAGCUCAGCAAGGGUUCUCACCAUACUAUCUCCAGCAGAUGCAAGCAGGCAGCAACCAAGGUCAGAGUUCUUCCGCGGCAGUCAUGCAGUACUCACAGAUGAUGCAGUACGCGGCACACAUGCAGCAAGCGGCGCACGCCGCCGGGCUCCACAGCGCCGACGCUCCAGAGAGCGCCAGCGACUCAGGUUAG
rnacentral:rRNA from 1 species